rnacentral:lncRNA from 1 species
GGGAGUGGCUCCACUGGCCUCUCCACUCUCCCAAGACUGAGCAGUGUGUUAGGAAUGAUUGAUAGAACAGCAAGAAGGAAAUAAGCAAAUGGACCACAAGACCAGCCUAAGAGUUUUCAUAUACCUACUCUUGGUUUUUGAGGCAAUGCAAGGUGUACGUGGAACUAUUUCAUUUGCUGGUUUACCAAGCACAGCAAACGUGGCAGAAAACAGUAAUUCUGGUACUGUGGUGGCCCAGUUCCAAAUGACAAUUUCUGGAGGAGCCAGUAUCGCACCUAAAUAUCCCACAAUACGGAACUCAAAUCCUCUGACUAAGGCUUUUCAAGUCUCAAUGACUGGACUCAACAGUGGUGAGGUAAGUUAGGACAUACAUUAAUUUUGUACUGUAGAUAGGAUUAGUUACUGGCAU